rnacentral:lncRNA from 1 species
AAAAAAUGCCCUAAAGGUCUAUGCACAACAUCCACCCUCAUGAUCGUACCAAUACACAUAAGCCCAUGCGAUUGUGUACAGAGGACCAAAAGUUGAAAUGCAUAACAGCCACUGUAAUGGACGGCAAUCGAAUGAAUAUUACAGAACUGUGAAAACACGGAAGGCUUCUUCCUAUAGGGAUACUAUUAUUGUUACGAGACUAAACAAACAUUAAGAACAAAAUUAUUACAAAGAAAUAUGGCAGGUCACACCAAAACCGAAGUGGUACUUCACAAAUGACGAAAACUCAAGACCCUACUCGGACUUGCAUGUAGAAAAUAGCAAGCAGUGAAUUUCAACGCGCUCAUAAAAAUAGGCAUCAGGCUCAGAAUUCUGAAUGGGAGAAUGGGAGCGCACUGUCAACACAGCACAAAUCGCCCAACAAAUGUUCAAUCUCAUGCAACACACAAGCUCAAAUGAUGCUUUGCUUUGUGCCUGAACCAUCCUUUGUCAAAUCUGAGACAGUAACUGGCUUCGCAACAGCAUCAACAAGAGAUAGCUCAUUUGUAUCUUUCACAAGUGCAUUAACCACAUCGGCAGAUACUCCAGUGCUCAGUUGGACAACUGUCGAGUGCUUAUCACCACUAACUUCUAGAGCAUUUGCUAAAUUGUUGGCUGCAGAACUAGAUGGUUGAUCUGCUUCAUGUGUAUUCAGGAAGAGACAAACAACAGCACAGUCAUCAAUUUUAGAAGUAGGGUACCUAGUACGCCAGGCACGAUUAGCUGAUUCAACCAGGAAGCGUGCUGCAGAAGCCCGAGAAGUAGCUCUGCUUAUGAUGCUAACAACUUCAGUGUUUGACAGCACAUCCCACACCUAGAAUUAGCAAACAAGUUAGAUAAUUGCAUCAUGUACCAGAAAACCUUCGACUUAGGAGUCUCUGGAAAUGAUAUGGUAUAACUCAAAACAUCUGCUCACCCCAUCAGUCGCCAACACGAUAAAUUCAUCCUUCUCUGUGACACGGUGACAGGAGACUUCAGGCAUAGAAAUUAGACCAUACUCCUUAAGACAGAAGUCUCCAAAUGCCCUUGCCAUGGCCAAUCCAGGUGAGUUAUACUUUGGCAGCC